rnacentral:lncRNA from 1 species
AUGCCAAAUUUCUUCUUUUAUGUUUCAAAAGUACAUUUAUGUUACCUUUAUAUUUGAGAACAGAAGUAAACUGUACUGUUCUGAAAAGUAUAGACUAUUAAUAGAAAAGUUAGAGAGGGAAGAAGAGAACAGAAGAGAAAGUCUUAAAAUAUCUCCACCAGAGUUUGUAAAAAUCUCAUUAGAUUCUAAAAAAUUUGAAAUAAAACAUAGCUAUCCUAUCGUUGCUGUCGAAUUAGUAGACUGACAAAGAGCAGCGAGGAAGACGGAGAAGAAAGAGAAAGUAGCAAAGAGCAGCACCGGCAACCGGGGGGAGAGGGAUUUCAGCAAUCCUACUUGUAGCAUAGUUUAGAUCCCUAGCAUAGAUUAGGUAACAUGGGAUCAAACUUAAUGGCAAUCGUUGGAUCGGCGAGCGUCGCAACCGGGGCGAUUGGAUCGGCCAAGUAGGAUAGGUGUAGGAGGCCCUAAUCAUGACGCCUAGCGAUGGACAUCGCAGGCAUUAGAGGAGAGGAUGGAGGUGAGAGAGGGAGGGGAAGAGAGAGUGAAAGCGAAGCUUUGGGUAGCGGAGGAGGCAUGCGCGGGCAAGGAAUGCGCGGAAGGGAGGGAAAGGAGUUGAUUCCACCACAGCUAUCUGAUCAAAAAAAUGAAGGAUGAAGAUUGAGCGUCUCUUGGGAAAGGGAAGUGGCAUGUUUCGGAGUAGGAAGAAAGAGAGUUGGCUGUUCUACACCGUUGAAUCUGUAAUCAACAGGGGCAGUAGAGGGGGCAAUGAGGACAUGCCACAUGGCUGAAUAGGAGUGUCAAAUAAAUAGAUUGUAUAGACUAGCAUAGAUUAGGUAGCAUGGGAUCCAACUUAAUGGCAACCGUUGGAUCGGCGAGCGUCGCAAUCGAGGCGAUUGGAUCAACCAAGGAGGGUAGGUGUAGGAGGCCUAAUCAUGAUGCCUAAGGAUGGACAUUGCAGGCAUUAGAGAAGAAGAGGAGGGAGGAGAGGAUGGAGGUGAGAGAGGAAGAAAGAGAGAGGGAAAGAAAGAGAGAAAGCGGCGCUUUGGGCAGCGGAGGAGGCAUGCGCUGGGCAAGGAACGCGCAGAGGGGAGGGGAAGGAGUUGAUUCCACCACAGCCAUCCGAUCAAAAAAAUGGAGUGUGAAGAUUGAGCGUCUUUUGGGAAAGGGAAAAGGCAUGUUUCGGAGUGGAAAGAAAGAGAGUUGGUUGAUCUACACCGUUGAAUCUGUAAUCAAGAGGGGCAAUAGAGGGGGCAAUGAGAACAUGUCACGUGGCUGAAUAGGAGUUUCAAAUAAGUAGUUUGUAUAGAUAAUAUAUAAUCUCUCAUUUAAAAAAAUAGGGCUUUUAUUUGUUUAUUGGCACAAUUAUUUAAAAUUUUCAAAUUUAUUCUAAAAUUAUUAGAAUAUUCUUCUAAACCUUAAAUCACAUUAGCAAAUCAUUAUGGUUUGAAAUAUUGGAAGAAACUUUUGAAAGUCAAUAAAAACAUUGUGAUCAAUCAUGGAUAUAUUAGAUAUAUAUUUAAAAUUUUGAAGGACAUAUUAGAUAUUAUUUCUGAAAAAAAAUAAAUAAAAUAAGGAUUCAUUGUGGACUUUUGAAUGAAGAGGUGUAAAAUUUAUACUCCUUUUUGAGUGCAUAGGUAGCAGCGAUCUAAUUG